rnacentral:rRNA from 2 species
CGAACGCUGGCGGCGUGCUUAACACAUGGCAAGUCGAACCGAUGAAAGUCGUUCUGAUAUCUUCGGAUUGAUAAACUUCUGGAUUAGUGGCGGACGGGUGAGUAACGCGUGAGCAAUCUGCCUUACACAAAGGGAUAGCCUCGGGAAACCGGGAUUAAUACCAUAUGAUAUCUAUUAACCGCAUGGUUUAUAGAUUAAAGAAUUUCGGUGUAAGAUGAGCUCGCGUCCCAUUAAUUAGUUGGUGAGGGUAACGGCCCACCAAGAUAGCGAUGGGUAGCCGAUCUAAGAGGAUGACCGGCCACAUUGGAACUGAGAAACGGUCCAAACUCCUACGGGAGGCAGCAGUGGGGAAUAUUGCACAAUGGGGGAAACCCUGAUGCAGCGACGCCGCGUGAGCGAUGAAGGCCUUCGAGUCGUAAAGCUCUGUCCUAUGGGAAGAUAAUGACGGUACCAUAGAAGAAAGCCCCGGCUAAUUACGUGCCAGCCGCCGCGGUAA